rnacentral:rRNA from 1 species
AUUGAACGCUGGCGGCAGGCCUAACACAUGCAAGUCGAGCGGGGUUUUCGGACCUAGCGGCGGACGGGUGAGUAAUGCGUAGGAAGCUACCCGAUAGAGGGGGAUACCAGUUGGAAACGACUGUUAAUACCGCAUAAUGUCUACGGACCAAAGUGUGGGACCUUCGGGCCACAUGCUAUCGGAUGCGCCGACGUGGGAUUAGCUAGUUGGUGAGGUAAUGGCUCACCAAGGCGACGAUCCCUAGCUGGUUUGAGAGGAUGAUCAGCCACACUGGAACUGAGACACGGUCCAGACUCCUACGGGAGGCAGCAGUGGGGAAUAUUGGACAAUGGGCGCAAGCCUGAUCCAGCCAUGCCGCGUGUGUGAAGAAGGCCUUCGGGUUGUAAAGCACUUUCAGUAGGGAGGAAGCGUUGUGUGUUAAUAGUACACAGCGUUGACGUUACCUACAGAAGAAGCACCGGCUAAUUCUGUGCCAGCAGCCGCCGUAACAC